AUUGUUUUGGAGAAGAAAUGGUUGUGAAGUAACUUAACAACUUGCCUGGAUUUGCUCGUUUGUGAGGCCAAAAAUAUGUUCGUCGAUGGGAUAAUGUUGGGAGACAGUUCUACAGUUCACUGUACCGACUUUUAUGAAAUUUCGUAGAAGGGGUGAUAAUCGAUACGCCAUUAUGCACUGUUUUCUAUAAGAUACCCUACUGAAUGAGUGUGUUGAAAGAAUGAUAAAUUUUUAUCAAGGUUGUUUUGUAUAAUUACAAGCCAUACUUGUUUUCAUGUGUAGGCAAUAAACUAUACACUUUAGUUGAUUUUAGGUGUAUACACCAUUUAAUAUUUUGAUGAAAAAGAAUUUGGUUUCCGAAGAUAAGCAGGUUUCAGUAAAGCUUGAACUAUGAAAGCACAAAAAGACACCUUCACCAUAUUUCAUAUCAUAUUUGAUAUUAAUUACAAAGAGUAGAUAAGACAUAAUCUACUCGUAUAUCGGCCAGAUUCACCUGGCCGAUAAUAAGUAGGUAUAUAAAUACAAAUACGAGUAGGUACUAACGUAGUUUUACAUUCAAAGUGUACUCGAAAUAAAUAUCUGUCAAGACGAAGUAGUUUUUAGUGGUAUUGUUGUAAAUACUGAUCCACACAGUGGCCAGGAAUUGCCUUUAAACCAAAGAGCCACCUGACAAUAUUUACAGUAUAAAUAAAAAUUUUCUUUUUUUGGAAAAAUUAUUUUGCAAUGAGACCUAAUAUAUUACUGCCUCUAUUUCUCAUCGUAACUUAUGUUGAUGGUGCUAUUUUCAAAUUGCAAAACCAAACUCAUAUUCACUGCGUUGACGAAAAUAAAGAUUCAACCAUUUUUAUACAUCCUCCAGCUGAAACAUUGGAAUCAUCGUCAAAUUUAUUAGAAGAUAAAAAAUGGUUUAAUGAUGACUGGGAAGAAAGAGAAACAAGAAAUUUACCUACGGCUCAUAUAUUAGAUAGUAGAUGGCAAGAAAUUCCAUUUAUCAAAACCAACUAUUUGCAUUUUGACCUAUUCCGAUCUGUCUCCAUAUCCGUGUAUACACCGAAGAAUUUUGAAAUAUUUGUAUAUAGUGACAAACAAGCUAGCGUAGUCACUCCACUAAUUGAAAAAAACUACUGGAAUCAUUUUACUAUUAUAUCAACAGAGAAAAACAUUAUCACAAUACACAACAAUGAAACUAUAAUGAAACGAAACAAUUUUCAACCCAAAUACGUUGUUUUUAAAAGUGCGAACGAAACGUUUUGGAAAAUACAUCAUGAUCGGCUGGUUAGAUGGUCAAAAACUACAAGCAAACAACCAACGGUUUUAACAGUUCCACCGACCGAAAGUCCUUGCAUGAUCUUGUAUUCGUCUUUAUGUCCAAAUUGUACUUUAGAAAUAUAUUCCAAUAAAGAAAAGAAAACAAUCCAUGCAACAGCCCAAGAACCAGACAUGAUAGAAUACUGGCAAACUACUGAGGUCGAAAUAGACCCAAACCGUGAGAACCAAAUAACUUUUUACAGAAAAAAUAUGAAUGGCCAAUCCUCUGGAUAUUGGACGAUAGAGUUCCAAUUGUGUAAAAAAACAAAUAUGGUUAGCUACAAAAUCAAUUCAGAAGAAACUUCUAAUUUCAGUUGUGAAACUUUGAUCAAGACUGAAAGAAAAGCAUAUGAAGGGAACAUAGUUGAACCAUGUAGUUCUGGAAAAUUUGGAACAUAUUGCAACAUAACUUGUGAAAGUGUACUCGGCAAAGAAUUUUCACAGUGUGAGAAACACCAGAUUUGUGUAAACGAAACAUACUGUUACUGUGCUUCAGGAUACAAAAAAGAAAAGUGCUCUAAAUCUUGUGAAGCUGGAAAAUGGGGACCGUCGUGUAGCAAGCAAUGCGAAGAUUGCAGUGAAUGCGACCCUAAAACCGGAAAAUGUCAUCAUCGACUCGAUAGACACUUUAAUAUACUCUAUACAAGUAAAAGUACUGCAAUCGUUCCGUUGUUGAAUAUCUUGGCUAUGUCUUUGACAGCAGCCUGCGCGGUGUUAUUGCUUCAGUCUUCAGUGGUUCCAAUCCUUCAGUUGACGCCAUAGGGGUUUUAGUGGGUAUUGUCAACUUUAACUCCGAACUUCGACCGAGUCCCACAUAACCAUAGAAUAAGAGACAAAGACUGGUAUUUCCCCUCUCAAAAAAUACAUAUCUCCAAUAUUACCUCGCAAUACUACCGGCAAGUAAGACCUGAGGUCCGCCCAGGGUCUCAAAAUUUGUUGAUUUGUCAACAUCGGAAAUUAUUUCUUAGGAAACCGUUCAAAUUUUUUUGCGAUCACGCCUUUCGGAAAUAAAAUUAACUAGACGCUCUCUGGUGAUGACUUUUGAACUAUGUCGAAAACAGUAAAGAAAUUUUCGUAAUGCCACAUUUAACUGACAUUUAAUGAAUUGUUCAACAAUUUUGCGUGUAUAGUGUUAAUUACUUACAAUAGAAAGAAUUACUUUAAAAGUACGUGGUGGUAAAUACUAGCGUUCACUUUGGUUCUGUGGUUUUUCGUGGUAUAAAGUGUUUAUUGUUGGAACUUGAAAGUGGAUAAAAAGUGAAAAAUAUUUAAAUUUUGAUUACAAAGUGUUAUCAAACAGUUGUCUAAUUAAAGAUUAUAAGUAAUGGAUCACAGCGAACACAAAGUUUGGCUCAAGAAACCAAUAAAUUAGUGAAGUGUUAUGAAUUUUAGGUUAGAAUUUUCCACUGAAAAAAUCAUGAAAUGCUGCGGUAAAUCUGCAAAACUACAAUAAAGAUUAACAACUGCUGAUACAUUUAAACGUUAAUUAUGCCAAAAGGUAGGUUUUUCAAUGUCUUUGUAAUAAUUUUCCAAUAAAGAAAGUGAACCAAACAGUCAUUCGUUAUUCGUGUUUUCCCCGUCAUCUCUCAUUUGUCAACAUAAGUUUCUUGCAUCAAAGAUGCAAUAAUCAUUCCGCAUAGGCAAUGUAAUAAUUGUGAAGCCCCAAAAUUCGUACAACGCUCAAAAUAUCCGAAUAAACAUUUUCCCGCCAUUUAUGGUUACUGUUUUCGACCUAGCUCAGUGGCGCCCCCAACGGUAAUUUUACUUCCGAUUUACCGCGACUAUCAGACAACGUUGCCGUAGGUAUAUUAAAUUUAAAAUUUAAUUUUAGUUUCAAUGUCACGAAGUGUAAAAAAUAUCUUUUUUUUAAUAAUAAGUUUAACACUUCUUGCCAUUUAACAAGUUGGUGUCGCUACCGUUAAAAUGAUAAUUAUUUACUUUUUUCAUUAAUUUUUUGUGAGAUUCUUGUACCUAACUUGUUUGGAAAGCAAUUUCCCAAUUCGCACAAUUCGCACAAUUGUACUUUCCAAACUCGUUAGGUAAAUAACUAUUAUUAACAAAUAAAGUAUUAUUUAUUUGUC